CCUACGGGUGGCAGCAGUAGGGAAUCUUUCACAAUGGGCGAAAGCCUGAUGGAGCAACGCCGCGUGCAGGAUGAAGGCCUUCGGGUUGUAAACUGCUUUUAUAAGCGAGAAAUAUGAUGGUAACUUAUGAAUAAGGAUCGGCUAACUACGUGCCAGCAGCCGCGGUCAUACGUAGGAUCCGAGCAUUAUCCGGAGUGACUGGGUGUAAAGAGUUGCGUAGGUGGCAUAAUAAGUAGCUAGUGAAAUCUGGUGGCUCAAACAUUCAGACUAUUAGCUAAACUGUUAAGCUCGAGACCGUUAGGGGUAACUGGAAUUUCUAGUGUAGGAGUGAAAUCCGUAGAUAUUAGAAGGAACACCAGUAGCGUAGGCAGGUUGCUGGGACGGUUCUGACACUGAGGCACGAAAGCGUAGGGAGCAAACGGGAUUAGAUACCCCAGUAGUC
rnacentral:rRNA from 1 species